AUUGAACGCUGGCGGCAUGCUUUACACAUGCAAGUCGAACGGUAACAGGCCUUCGGGUGCUGACGAGUGGCGAACGGGUGAGUAAUGCAUCGGAACGUGCCCAAUCGUGGGGGAUAACGUAGCGAAAGUUACGCUAAUACCGCAUAAGCCCUGAGGGGGAAAGUGGGGACCGCAAGGCCUCACGCGAAUGGAGCGGCCGAUGUCAGAUUAGCUAGUUGGUGGGGUAAAGGCCCACCAAGGCGACGAUCUGUAGCGGGUCUGAGAGGAUGUUCCGCCACACUGGGACUGAGACACGGCCCAGACUCCUACGGGAGGCAGCAGUGGGGAAUUUUGGACAAUGGGCGCAAGCCUGAUCCAGCCAUGCCGCGUGCGGGACGAAGGCC
rnacentral:rRNA from 1 species